UUCUUGAUUCAGUAUUACUUCCUACUUUGUUUAGAUGCAGACCAACUGAAUUAGAUUGGUGUAAUUCAGUAUAAAUGUUGCUGUGUGCAGUAAAGAUUCCGGCUCUAGCAGCAGUUUAUGUCUGUGACUUUGGCUUUUUGUUUGUUUUGUUGAUUUUCUUUAGUUUUUUUUUUUUUUGUUUGUUUUUGUUUUUUGUUUUUUUUCGAGACAGGGUUUCUCUGUAUAGCUUUGGCCGUCCUUGAACUCACUGUGUAGACCAGGCCUCGAACUCAGAAAUCCGCCAGCCUCUGCCUCCCGAGUGCUGGGAUUAAGGGCGUGCGCCAUCACGCCCGGCAACUUUUUUUUUUUUUUUUUUAAAGAUUUUAUUUAUUUAUUGUAUGUAAGUACAUUGUAGCUGUUUUCAGACACUCCAGAAGAGGGAGUCAGAUCUCGUUACAGAUGGUUGUGAGCCAUCAUGUGGUUGCUGGGAUUUGAACUCUGGACCUUCGGAAGAGCAGUCGGGUGCCUUUACCCACUGAGCCAUCUCACCAGCCCCAACUUUUUUUUUUUUAAGAGCAGGUUUAUUGGUGGUGCCUUUAAUUUUUGUUCUUGGUAGGAAGGCAGAGGUAGGUGCCUCUCUGUAAAUUUUAGUUCUACAUAUUGAGUUCCAGAGCCAGAAGUACACAAUGAGAGCUGGUCCCAAGAAAUGUUUAAGAAAUGUUUUUUUAUGUUUGUUUAUGGAGGGAUGGGCAUGUACCUCGGGGACACAUGUGGAUGUCAGAGGCUAACUUUCAGGAGUUGGUUGUCUCCUACCAUUUGUCCUGAGGGGGCCAGGUUUGGCAGCAAGCACCUUCCCCUGCUGACCCAUCUUGUUAAUUCUCAGUUUUCUUUUUUAAAGUUUUUUCCCUCCCUAAAUUGUGUGUGUGUGUGUGUUAGUUACAUAAGUGGAAGUGCCCUUGGAGGCCAGAGGAGUCCAAUUAGCUAGGGCUGGAAUUAGAGAUGGUUGUGGUUUCCCUUCCUGUGGGUGCUGGGAACUAGUUUGGGUCUUCUGCAAGAACAGUGCAUGCUCUUCACUGCUAAGACAUCUCUCUAGCCUUUUUUAAUGCUAAGGUCUCAUUAUAUAGCCUAUGUUGGCUUCAAACUAGGUAACCAAACUAGGUUUCCUCAGUUUCCUGAGAGGAUUACAAGUGUGUGUCAUCACAACUUGGCUAAAGCUUUUUCUUCUUUGAUCUCAGCCUGGCCUUGAACUCUAUUCCAGAUUACUUUUCCUUUUUGUGUGCUGAGAUUACAGACUCCAUAAUUGGCGGGCAUAGAACAGCUCAGUGGCAGAUUCUGGGAUUUUUAAAUAAUCAUAGGAUGAGAUAGGGACAGUAAGGGACUGUUGGUGUCUAUCAUUGAAGAGAACCUUUCACAGGCAGAAAAAAUGAGGUUAGUUGUAGAGAAUUUUUUGAAUCCAGGUGGUGCUGAGGGGCCAUCAGACACGUGUCUUAUCAUAUUGAUGACAGGGAUGCAGGGAUGGGAUAAAGAUUUACAUUGUUGUCUUAGAUGUAUUUAUGCCAUUUGUGCUUGACGAAAAGAUCCAUACUGUAGUGAUUUGACAGUUGCUUAAUCAUAGUCUGAUAAAUAUACACCCACACACCCACACCCACACACCCACACACGAGGUUUAUUUCUCUCAAAAACUAUGUACUGAGUUUCUGGAAAGGAAUAAGAGAAAGAUUUUCAUUUUUCUUUAGCAUCGUUUAUUCUGUUUUGCAUUUUGAAAUGAGGCCUUGCUUUGUUCAUAAAUAUAGCUCACAGGCUGGCCUUGUUAUGAUGACAAGUGUGAGCUGGGUAGCACCAUUCUUUAAUUUGUCUGCUUUUCUCUUGUUGCUGUUUUCUUUGUGUGUGUAUGUGUGUAGUGCAUAUACUUGUUCACAUGGGUUUUGUUUGUACAUGGAGAGCAAAGGUAACUUGUUGGGUUUCUCCUUUCAUCACGUUCUUGUGACAAGGUUUCUUAUUAAACCUAAAGACAUCAGUUGGUUUAGAUGAACUAACCAGUGAGCUCCUGGUAUCCUCCAGUCUGCCCCAUUUCUCUUCAGUCCCCACAGUGCUGGGAAUACCAGUGUAUAUUGCCAGGCUCUUUUAAAAAUGGAUGCUGGACAGCCCUAACUCAGGCUCCAUGGCAGGCCCUUUGCCAAAUUGAGCCACUUACUAUGCACCCUUUUUUCAUGACCUCUGAGGAAAUGAACACUAAAAAUAUAAAGCACACAGAUUUGUAGUUGAUAAAGUGUAAAGUAGGUGGAACAUGGUUAAUGUAACAUAUAUGAGGCUAGCACACGAAUAUGGGAAUGUUGUAGGGACUCUGCCUGUGGUAAUUAGGUGUGUAGACUCUGGGUUCAGAUUGUCUGGGUUCAGUUUCUUUUUCUUUCUUUUUUUUUUUUUUCUUUUUUUAUUAAAAGACAGUUAACUCAUCACCCUUUUUGGGUUCAAAGUAUGAAUCUUCCAUUCUGGGACUGAUUCUUUCUUUGCAUCUCAUGUUUGGGUUGGGGCUAAUGAGGAUUAUAAGAAUUUCCUUUGACAUGUCUGUAAUUGUAGCAUCUGAGACAUGAGCCAAGACAUAACCUGAAGGACAACCUGAACUAUAUACUGUGAGGCUUCACUUCCAAAAAAUGUUAUGCAGAAUGUUAUGAUCAGAGCCUGGCACUAUAAAAAUGUUAGCUGUUAUUUUAACUAUUACCUCAUAGCUUAAAUUUGUCAAAAAGAAAAAAAAAAAAAAAAAAAAAACGAUGACAGUGAGCAGUAAAGGGUUUCAUUG
rnacentral:lncRNA from 1 species